GUGCGAGACCGAUAGCGAACAAGUACCGUGAGGAAAAGAUGAAAAGAACUUUGAAAAGAGAGUUAAAGAGUACCUGAAACUGCUGAAAGGGAAGCGAAUCGUAUCCAGUGUCUAUAAUCUGCGGCAUAUUUCAUUGGCGGCGGUGCGCGUGCUUUUGCGUCGGAAGCGGCUUUUGUUGCUCUGUGCUUUUGCUGUGCGUGGUGUUGCUGGUGCCCUGUGUUGCGGUGGGACGUCAGAGUCAGUUUGUAUGCUGCGGGAAAUGGCUGCCGAGGAGGUGGGUCGAGAUUUCGGUCUUGGCUGUUAUAUCUUGGUGGUUUGUUGUCGUGGUUGAGACUGAGGUGCCUACAGUGUGCUUUUGAGUGUACCGGGUUCUCAUUUGGUGGACUGUUUGGAUAGCUUGCUAUGCUUGUGGUUUUUUCAUCGGGUGAUUGAGUCUGGUGGUAACUUGUUGCUGUUCGGGACUUUGA
rnacentral:rRNA from 2 species